UUAUAAAGCAAUGAGACUGAUU
rnacentral:miRNA from 25 species